ACACUGGUGGUUCGGUGGUAGCAUUCUCACCUUCCAUGUCAGAGGCCCAGGUUCCAUUCCCGGCCAGUGUA
rnacentral:tRNA from 1 species